GAGGAAACACCCAAUUGCCUGGAGACAUCAGGAGAGGCUUUUAGAAAAAGAUGACUUCCAAGCAGAAAAGGAUCCGGGAGGACAUUAGCAGAGAAGAGAACAGCAAGGCAAGACACUGUCUUCUGGGGUUUCAUCAUGUCUCAUCCGGACAAUGCAACAUGCUCCCUGAGUCCAGCCUUGUCCUCACCUUCUCUACCUGCCCUCCUUACAGUGAUCGCAAGACUCAGUCACCUUAGCAGCCCCGGGUCUUGGGAGUUGUGGCUGAGUAGAAGCAGGAGAGACAGAGGUCUUCAGGUAAAAGGAUCAAGUGUGAACUCUUUUGUAGAACAUUCAAGGCUGUUCAAGGGCUGACUCCAACCAACCCUUCAGACCUAAUCUUCUCUCACCACCCUCCAUGCUCAGGCUACACUUACUGAUGUGCUAAUUACUCUUUGCCAGACAUGACAGAUAUGCGAUAGAUACUAUUUUACCAUUGAAGAAACAAGGGCAUAAGGAGAUUAAGUGACCUUGCCCAAGGUCACUUAGGAAGUGAGUGUCAGAGCCAGAAUUUGGACCCAGCUGGUUGACUGCAGAGUUGAGCUCUUGCCUGAAGUCUCCUCAACCCUUACAACCCUAUACCUCACAGAUGCCGCAGCAGAAUUAAUCUCCUUUUAUGUACUUCCACUCACCAAAACUAUGUCAAAGAUAGUUGUUUUCCAUAUUCGUAGUCUGCCUGUUAGGGAUGUCAGUAAAUGUUUGUGUGAUGGUUAAUAUUGUGUGAACUUGGCCAUGCUAUAGUACUCAAAUGUGAA